GAACUUAAGCAUAUCAAUAAGCGGAGGAAAAGAAACCAACAGGGAUUGCCUCAGUAACGGCGAGUGAAGCGGCAACAGCUCAAAUUUGAAAUCUGGCUCUUUCAGGGUCCGAGUUGUAAUUUGUAGAAGAUGCUUUGGGUGUAGCUCCGGUCUAAGUUCCUUGGAACAGGACGUCAUAGAGGGUGAGAAUCCCGUACGUGACUGGGUGCUUUCGCUCGUGUAAAGCUCUUUCGACGAGUCGAGUUGUUUGGGAAUGCAGCUCAAAAUGGGUGGUAAAUUUCAUCUAAAGCUAAAUAUUGGCCAGAGACCGAUAGCGCACAAGUAGAGUGAUCGAAAGAUGAAAAGCACUUUGGAAAGAGAGUUAAACAGUACGUGAAAUUGUUGAAAGGGAAGCGCUUGCAACCAGACUUGCGCGCUGUUGAUCAUCCGAGGUUUUCCCCGGUGCACUCGGCAGCGUUCAGGCCAGCAUCGGUUUUGGUGGGCGGAUAAAGGCCUUGGGAAUGUAGCUUCUUUCGGGGAGUGUUAUAGCCCUCGGUGCAAUGCGCCCUACUGGGACCGAGGACCGCGCUUCGGCUAGGAUGCUGGCGUAAUGGUUGUAAGCGACCCGUCUUGAAACACGGACCAAGGAGUCUAACAUCUAUGCGAGUGUUUGGGUGUCAAACCCAUACGCGUAAUGAAAGUGAACGGAGGUGAGAACCCUUAAGGGUGCAUCAUCGACCGAUCCUGAUGUCUUCGGAUGGAUUUGAGUAAGAGCAUAGCUGUUGGGACCCGAAA
rnacentral:rRNA from 1 species